rnacentral:rRNA from 1 species
UGCUUGGGAAUUUGCCUUUAGGUGGGGGACAACAGUUGGAAACGACUGCUAAUACCGCAUAUUGUCUACGGACUAAAGAGGGCUUCGGCUCUCGCCUUUAGAGAAGCCCAAGUGGGAUUAGGUAGUUGGUGAGGUAAAGGCUCACCAAGCCGACGAUCCCUAGCUGGUCUGAGAGGAUGAUCAGCCACACUGGAACUGAGACACGGUCCAGACUCCUACGGGAGGCAGCAGUGGGGAAUAUUGCACAAUGGGCGAAAGCCUGAUGCAGCAACGCCGCGUGAGGGAUGACGGCCUUCGGUU